rnacentral:rRNA from 1 species
UACGGGAGGCAGCAGUGGGGAAUAUUGCACAAUGGGCGCAAGCCUGAUGCAGCCAUGCCGCGUGUAUGAAGAAGGCCUUCGGGUUGUAAAGUACUUUCAGUCGUGAGGAAGGUGUUAAGGUUAAUAACCUUAGCAAUUGACGUUAGCGACAGAAGAAGCACCGGCUAACUCCGUGCCAGCAGCCGCGGUAAUACGGAGGGUGCGAGCGUUAAUCGGAAUUACUGGGCGUAAAGGGCACGCAGGCGGUUAAUUAAGUUGGAUGUGAAAUCCCCGGGCUUAACCUGGGAAUGGCAUUCAAGACUGGUUAGCUAGAGUCUUGUAGAGGGGGUAGAAUUCCAUGUGUAGCGGUGAAAUGCGUAGAGAUGUGGAGGAAUACCGGUGGCGAGGGCGGCCCCUGGGACAAAGACUGACGCUCAUGUGCGAAAGCGUGGGGAGCAAACAGGGAUUUAGAUAC